rnacentral:rRNA from 1 species
GACGAACGCUGGCGGCGGGCUUAACACAUGCAAGUCGAACGGAAAGGCCCUGCGUUUGUGGGGUGCUCGAGGGGCGAACGGGGGAGGAACACGUGAGUAACCUGCCCUUGACUUUGGGAGAACUUCAGGAAACUGGGGCUAAUACCGGAUAGGAGCUCCUGCUGCAGGGUGGGGGUUGGAAAGUUGCGGCGGUUGCGGAUGGACUCGCGGCUGAUCAGCUUGUUGGUGGGGGAGGUGCUGACCAAGGAUUUGAAGGGUAGCCGGCCUGAGAGGGUGACCGGCGACAUUGCGACUGAGAUACGGACCAGACUCCAACGGGAGGCAGCAGUGGGGAAUAUUGCCCAAUGGGAGGAAGCCUGAUGCAGCAACGCCCCGUGCGGGAUGACGGCCUUCGGGUUGUGAACCGCUUUCGCCUGUGACGAAGCGUGAGUGACGGUAAUGGAUAAAGAAGCACCGGCUAACUACGUG